AGGACGAACGCUGGCGGCGUGCUUAACACAUGCAAGUCGAACGGAAAGGCCCUUUCGGGGUACUCGAGUGGCGAACGGGUGAGUAACACGUGGGUGAUCUGCCCUGCACUUCGGGAUAAGCUUGGGAAACUGGGUCUAAUACCGGAUAGGACUACGGACUUCAUGGUUUGUGGUGGAAAGCUUUUGCGGUGUGGAUGGGCCCGCGGCCUAUCAGCUUGUUGGUGGGGUGAUGGCCUACCAAGGCGACGACGGGUA
rnacentral:rRNA from 1 species